GCUUCACAAGGUGGCAGCACUGCGGCAAUGAGGGAUGAAGUGGGCGGCAGCUGAGACUCAACGAAGAAGAGGAGGUCUGGGACGACGGAGCAGCAUUUUCCCUGCCAGUCAGGUGCCGUCCCCUCAGCUGCCCUGGGAUCCGCUGCGGGGGUCUUCCAGUCAGAAGGAGCGCAGUGGGAUGAGGUAGUAGGUUGUAUAGUUUUAGGGUCACACCCACACUGGGAGAUAACUAUCCAACCUACUGUCUGUCUCAAAGCGCUACACCUCUCAGCUGCUCUCACCGCCGUGGAGGACUUCCUGCUCGUCUCCGCCGGAGCCGGACGCUGCUUUCUGGUCAGGAUGUCCGGCUGCUCGCUCGGUUUGAGGUAGUAGAUUGUAUAGUUUUAGGGUUGUGAUUUUUGCCCUGUUAUGGAGAUAACUAUACAACCUACUGCCUUCCCUGAGCGGUGGGCUACCAUCCCUGCUGUGCUGCAGCGUCAGAGCAGCGCUGUCUUCUACAGAAGUAUUAUACUGUGGCUGUUUCUGCUCAAUGACAUGUAGUGUGACCUAUAAGUGGAACUGGCUCAGCACGGGCCAGUUCUGCUGUGUUUAGCUUUUUAUGUCUGAUUAAAAGCCAUUUCUCCCGCCUUGUCCCAGAGGUGCAGCAAUAGAGAUCAUCAGCCAUGUAGACCCGAUGAUUCUGUCAGACACUCGUAGUCUAUCACCAAAUCAGCCUGCUGCUUUCUAGGAACACUGCAGGGACUGCAACAGCGUCUACACAUCUGUGGAAAAACCAUCAUUCAGCAGCCGGUGUAAGCGUAAAAAUGAUGUUAGAAGAGAAACCCCGACACCUUACUUAUGUCCCUGUUCAUUCUCCAAAGUCAGCUGUAGUACCGAGCUGAAACCUGGUGGGGGUGGAAAUAAUCAGGUGUGUUUCUCGAUCAGCAGAUCAGGACUGGGCCAGCAUUGAGUUUGUCUGCUGUGGAGCAGCCAGCAGCAGAAACUGCUGCUUCCUUAAAUCCUGUCCAGGUUCUGCUUUGCUUCUUUCAGCGGUUUGGAGCCAUGCGUCUGUUUACUGUUUAAUCUCUCAUAACUACGUCUUACUGCAUUCUUUAAUUGGAUCUAAUGAGCCUUUUCACUGCACUGUGUUUUUGCUGUAAAGUCCUGAAUUACCUGUUAUAGAAAUAAAGUUUCCUCGUCUGUCACCCAG